AUUGAAACCUGUUGCAUUG
rnacentral:miRNA from 1 species